UUACGACCAAGUAAAUAAGGAUUCAUACCUUCUCAAUCACGGGUCUCGUCAUCAUCGCCGUCAUGAUUUGCGUCGUCUGUCUCUCUCUUAGGGAUUCGUCGCGCCACUCGAUUCGUCUCUUGUGGUUCGAUGAUAGGUCGUCAGAUCAUAGACUCAUGUUCGACAAUGGAGGAUUCGAGCUGCUUCCUGAGCUAUUUGCCCCACUAUAACACACAUGCACACUACAAACAGAAAUGGUGGUUAUCGAUUCUUGGUCGAUUCAAGGUUGAUGUAAGAGUAGCACAAGAGAGAGUCAUGUAACUGAGACUGCAGGUACAAACACUAAGACUUGUUGUUUGAAACAGGUUUGGUUUGGAGUUGAAAUAAAAGUUAUGGUCUUACUCUCACAUUGGUCUUAAAA